rnacentral:rRNA from 1 species
AGUGGCGAAUGGGUGCGUAACACGUGGGAAUCUAUCCGGAAGUGGGGGAUAGCUCGUCGAAAGGCGAAUUAAUACCGCAUAUGCCUGUAAGGGCAAAGUGGGGGACCGCAAGGCCUCACGCUAUCGGAGGAGCCCGCGCCCUAUAUGCUAGUUGGUGAGGUAAUGGCUCACCAAGGCUU